CUACUAGGGUAUCUAAUCCUGUUCGCUCCCCACGCUUUCGCUCCUCAGCGUCAAUAUCGGCCCAGAGACCCGCCUUCGCCACCGGUGUUCCUCCUGAUAUCUGCGCAUUUCACCGCUACACCAGGAAUUCCAGUCUCCCCUACCGAAUUCUAGCUAGCCCGUAUCGUCUGCAGGCCCGGGGUUGAGCCCCAGGUUUUCACAGCCGACGUGACAAGCCGCCUACGAGCUCUUUACGCCCAAUAAUUCCGGACAACGCUUGCACCCUACGUAUUACCGCGGCUGCUGGCAC
rnacentral:rRNA from 1 species